UUACCUUGAUUUGGCACUUCUGGCAGUGCGGGAGUUGAAUUUGUCAGCCCUUCAUGUGCUGAGAGCUCUCCUGGGCUGUUUUUGCCUUGCCAGGGCUGGCUGUUUGUGAUGUUUUUGUGUCAAUUUGACCCAUUACUUGCUGUAAGCUUAUUUCUUUUGCAGCCUGCAGGUGAAUUGCAGUACAAAGAUCCUUCCUGCCAAGGAUUUGGCUCAGUUGUUGCUAGGAAGAGCUUGUCAGCCAAACUUGGCAUCCAGUGGGGAGUUCUGUGACUUCCAGGACUGAUCUCAAAGCUUAUUGAUGAUUAUUCUUUUCAACACGUUUCAUGAAAGAAGACUUCUGUAAACUGCCUGCUGGUUAAGCCCUGGGAGAUUUUCCUGUAUCU